AGCCAAUACAUAGUUACACAGACCAUACAUGUCGGAAAUGGACGAAAUUUUUGGCAAAGGUUGCUUAGUGUCCAACAACCACACCAUAAACAUUGGAACUGAUCCUCAAGAAGCAUUGAUUGAAUCAAGUGUGAAUCAUUUUUUUAAAGAGUCAACUGAUUUUGAAGCAAUACUCGACAAUAUGCCAAGGUCUUCUAGACAGUGCCGGUCUGCACUAAAUCGUAGCAUGUGCACACGAACUGAAGUGUAUACACAAGAGCCGAACGCAGCAAAUGCUACUCCAUAUCCCCGUUAUUGGAAAAGCGCUAGAGAACGAUAUUUUGAAGAAAAAAGCAUGAUGAUAUGAUUCGGGUUCCCCACAAUAAAUGUCAAUAAACUUUUUAUCAGCAUCGACAAUGGCCUGUAGCACCAAUAACACCUGGUAUAUAGCUUAUGAUAAGCCAAUAUAAUUAUGUUGGCUAAGUCUUUCAUACAAAAUAAGCUCAUAUUAUCUGUAUAUACCACAGUUUUAUUUGAACUCAUAAACUCGUUAUUGGAUUUUUUUUGGCUCAACCUUCUAUUUAUAUUCAUCUAAGGAUU